rnacentral:rRNA from 1 species
CAGCAGCCGCGGGAAAACGUAGGUGGCAAGCGUUGUCCGGAAUUAUUGGACGUAAAGGGCUCGCAGGCGGUUUCUUAAGUCUGAUGUGAAAGCCCCCGGCUCAACCGGGGAGGGUCAUUGGAAACUGGGAAACUUGAGUGCAGAAGAGGAGAGUGGAAUUCCACGUGUAGCGGUGAAAUGCGCAGAGAUGUGGAGGAACACCAGCGGCGAAGGCGACUCUCUGGUCUGUAACUGACGCUGAGGAGCGGAAGCGUGGGGAGCGAACAGGAUUAGAUACCCCAGUAGUCCCUGUCUCUUAUAC